AAUUAACGCAGAACGGAUGGUUCCCUCGCGCCGAGGUGGAGCGGGGGAGUAAAUGGGAAUGUGACGGGGCGGACCCACGCCGGGCGCCCUUAUCGCAGCCGACCCCGCGACUGUAGAACGGUCAGGGUUCGCCAUCGGGCAAUGUCGUCGCGUUCCGACGAACCGCAUGGGGUGGUUCGCGGAGUGGCGGGGCAGGCCGGAAAAGCCACUGGCGUGGCGUCGUGAUCAGCCGGGCUGGACGCCUCUUCUUCUACGAAUCGUCCGCCUUUCACGAUGUCGAAUACGCCGGGAAGGCGAGGCGAACCCGUUCGGGUUGCCGCAUCGACGCGCGAGAGCCUUGCGCGCAGAUGCUGCACCCGUGGCGCCGUGAGCCAGGAGACCUGCCAUCCGCACGGGCAUUCC
rnacentral:ncRNA from 1 species